UACAAUCUAGUUCAGGUUACUGGGAUUGAGGAGAACACUAGGUGUUGGGUUAACGUAGCUACAAUCUAGUUCAGGUUACUGGGAUUGAGGAGAACACUAGGUGUUGGGUUAACGUAGCUACAAUCUAGUUCAGGUUACUGGGAUUGAGGAGAACACUAGGUGUUGGGUUAACGUAGCUACAAUCUAGUUCAGGUUACUGGGAUUGAGGAGAACACUAGGUGUUGGGUUAACGUAGCUACAAUCUAGUUCAGGUUACUGGGAUUGAGGAGAACACUAGGUGUUGGGUUAACGUAGCUACAAUCUAGUUCAGGUUACUGGGAUUGAGGAGAACACUAGGUGUUGGGUUAACCUAGCUACAAUCUAGUUCAGGUUACUGGGAUUGAGGAGAACACUAGGUGUUGGGUUAACGUAGCUACAAUCUAGUUCAGGUUACUGGGAUUGAGGAGAACACUAGGUGUUGGGUUAACGUAGCUACAAUCUAGUUCAGGUUACUGGGAUUGAGGAGAACACUAGGUGUUGGGUUAACGUAGCUACAAUCUAGUUCAGGUUACUGGGAUUGAGGAGAACACUAGGUGUUGGGUUAACGUAGCUACAAUCUAGUUCAGGUUACUGGGAUUGAGGAGAACACUAGGUGUUGGGUUAACGUAGCUACAAUCUAGUUCAGGUUACUGGGAUUGAGGAGAACACUAGGUGUUGGGUUAACGUAGCUACAAUCUAGUUCAGGUUACUGGGAUUGAGGAGAACACUAGGUGUUGGGUUAACCUAGCUACAAUCUAGUUCAGGUUACUGGGAUUGAGGAGAACACUAGGUGUUGGGUUAACGUAGCUACAAUCUAGUUCAGGUUACUGGGAUUGAGGAGAACACUAGGUGUUGGGUUAACCUAGCUACAAUCUAGUUCAGGUUACUGGGAUUGAGGAGAACACUAGGUGUUGGGUUAAAUUAGCUACAAUCUAGUUCAGGUUACUGGGAUUGAGGAGAAGAUCAUGGCAACA